CUUCUCCUGAGAAAGGGGAGGAACGGGCUAAUAAUACAGCUCUGUUACAGAAGUAUCCUUUGACAACUGACUUCAGGGUUCUGAAAGGCCUUGCAGCCUGCAUCACCUGAUUGGUUCUAGGUGGGACAUCAUGGGACCUUGACUUUGUGGCAGGAGUGAAAUAGUUAACAUCGUCAGGGAGCAGACAGGAGCCAUGGACUUCUCAACCCCCUGCCAAUGAGUGGUUACCUACCAAACUUAACCUUCAACCAGACUAUUUCUGAGGAGUCCAACUGCACUAGCUAUUUCUUAGGAUAGGGAACAUGGAGGCAGGGAGGACUUUAGAAGUCACACUAGAGCUGAAUCUUGAGAGAGACUUUCCAGGUAGGAAAGUGAUGGGCAAGGAGGACUGGUCUAUUCUGGAACAUGCUAGUUCUCUCUUUUGACAGGUAAACGGAAGCUUUGGAAAUAUAAGGUCACAUGAUGAAGAGAAUUUUAAGGGAUGCUAGUGAGUUUGAGCUUUGAUACAACUGAACGGUUCAGGGUAAUAAUCUCCUCAGUUCUGCUCUUAAAGACCCUCUGGAGUAACUUUUGGAAAAAAUUUUCAUCUUUUUUUCCCCUAUAGCUAAUUUUUUCUACUCUUAUCUUGGUCAGCAUCACUUCAGUUACCAGUUCUUUAAUGUCCAAUCUCUUUCCUUUCCAAACUUACUAUAGAUUCCUGAGUCUUCCAGGUCCAACCACUCUGUUAACAUUUCUCUUUCUGGGCUUCAUUGGGCUCUACCUACCCCCUCAAAACUCUUUCACACUGCUUGAUCUUUUUAAAGCAGAGUUCCAAAGCCUGUAACAGCUCAGACUUACAUAGUGAAGCUUCCCAGCCUGUAGUUUGGCAGUCAGGUUCCUGCACCUUCCUCUACCUCCCCAUAUUUCCAUUCAAAAACUUUCAGGCACACCAUCCUGGUCUUACUAAGCACAUUACUAAGCCACCAACACACUUGGGCUUCCACUGCUAGCCUCCCACCCUCCUGUUUUCUGCACCUUUUUCUGCUUGAUGCCUUCCUCUUUCAUGAAGGCCUUCUUUGUACAUGAUGUUUUAUACGGUCAAUUUUUUUUGUUUUGUUUUGUUUUUUACAUGUCCGUAAGCCAUCUGUGAAUAGAGAUCUUUCAUGCCUGAAGGGAAGAGUAGGAUGACAGGGAAAACCCUGAGGACUACUCCCAACUCUGAUAUUCAAUAGCCUGAGAAAUCUCCAUCAACCUCUCUGGCUUUUUGUUCCCUCAUCUGUCAAAUGCCAAGUUGUGCAAGAGUGGUUUUUGGUCUGGACUUGCUUCUGAUGUCCCCUUCCUUUCCUUGAGCAUGACAAGCAUCCAAAAGUGAAUGAUGGUGAGGUCUCGGGACAGACUUCCACAAAGGACACUGACAAGCUAGAGGCAUUUCUUCUAGGUUUUUAUGGGCCCUUUAUAGGCCUUGUCUGCCUCUGUAUCCCCUCAUGCUCAAACAGGCAAACAGAGACCAUGACGCCAAAGCUACAAGUUUGGGAGCCAGGUGUCCGGGACUGACCCAGAGCUGCUUCCCACUGUGCUAUUUCAGGCUCUUAGGACUUGGGACUGUGGAAUGUCAGCAUUGGAAGACAGGGAUCUUAAAGCUCAGCUGACUCAGCUCCUGGUACUUGAAUCCCCUCUGACACUAGCAUUGGUAUCCUUAUUGAGUGCAUGACCGUAGAUCAUUGCAAGAUUGCCACCAAGUGAGGGCCCAGUGUGUGAAUACCUCUUCAGUUAGCUGUUCAGCUCAGAGGUGUUGACUACUAGAAAUACUCCGCUCACCCUAUGCUUAAAGAUCUUUUAGAGCCUAUAAUACAAAGGCAGAUGGCACAUUCUACUUGUAUGUGAAUCCAGGAUCCACCAUUUUAGCUGACUAGCAUUAGGCAAGUUACUUAGUCCUCAGUGCCUCAGUUUUAUCAUCUGAAAAAUGGGCAUAACAAUAGUACAGCUUCAUAAAGCUGUUGUAUGGAUUAGAUUUUAAUGCUUGAGAAAGGUUUUUUUAAGUGCCUGGCAUAUAAAAGUUAUAUAUAUAUAUAUAUAUAUAUAUAUAUAUAUAUAUAUAU